rnacentral:rRNA from 1 species
CCUACGGGAGGCUGCAGUGGGGAAUUUUGCGCAAUGCUCGUAAGAGUGACGCAGCGACGCCGCGUGAAUGACGAAGGCCUUCGGGUCGUAAAGUUCUUUCGACAGGGAAGAAAAUGCCUAUAAGUAACUGUGUAUGUAUUGACGGUACCUGUAUAAGCAGCCCCGGCUAACUCCGUGCCAGCAGCCGCGGUAAUACGGAGGGGGCGAGCGUAGUUCGGAGUGACUGGGCGUAAAGAGCACGUAGGCGGUGUUGUAAGUCAUUAGUCAAAGACUAGAGCUCAACUUUAGUAAGGCUAGUGAUAAUAUAAUACGAGAGUAUCAGAGAGGAUUGCAGAAUUCCUGGUGUAGCGGUGAAAUGCGUAGAUAUCAGGAGGAAUACCGUUAGCGAAGGCGGCAAUCUGGCUGGAAACUGACGCUGAGGUGCGAAAGCGUGGGUAGCAAACAGGAUUAGAUACCCUAGUAGUC